AACGCGAAGAACCUUACCUACCCUUGACAUCCAGAGAAUUCUGCAGAGAUGUAGAAGUGCCGAAAGGAACUCUGAGACAGGUGCUGCAUGGCUGUCGUCAGCUCGUGUUGUGAGAUGUUGGGUUAAGUCCCGUAACGAGCGCAACCCUUAUCUUUAGUUGCCAACAUGUAAUGGUGGGGACUCUAAAGAGACUGCUGGUGAUGAACCGGAGGAAGGCGGGGACGACGUCAAGUCAUCAUGGCCUUUAUGGGUAGGGCUACACACGUGCUACAAUGGCGCGUACAGAGGGUUGCCAACCUGCGAAGGGGAGCCAAUCCCGCAAAACGCGUCGUAGUCCGGAUCGGAGUCUGCAACUCGACUCCGUGAAGUCGGAAUCGCUAGUAAUCGCGAAUCAGAACGUCGCGGUGAAUACGUUCCCGGGCCUUGUACACACCGCGCAUA
rnacentral:rRNA from 1 species